AUUGAACGCUGGCGGCCGGCCUAACACAUGCAAGUCGAGCGAGCGGCGGACGGGUGAGUAAUGUAUGGGGACUGCCCGAUAGAGGGGGAUAACUACUGGAAACGGUGGCUAAUACCGCAUACGAUCGGAUAACCCAUAUGGGAUUAGCUAGUAGGUGGGGUAAUGGCGCACCUAGGCGACGAUCUCUAGCUGGUCUGAGAGGAUGAUCAGCCACACGGGGACUGAGACACGGCCCAGACUCCUCCGGAGGCAGCAGUGGGGAAUAGUGCACAGUGGGCGCAAGCCUGAUGCAGCCAUGCCGCGGGUAUGAAGAAGGCCUUAGGGUUGUAAAGUACUUUCAGCGAGGAGGCGUUACCGACAGAAGAAGCACCGGCUAACUCCGUGCCAGCAGCCGCGGUAAUUC
rnacentral:rRNA from 1 species